rnacentral:rRNA from 1 species
CAUGGUUGUCGUCAGCUCGUGUCGUGAGAUGUUGGGUUAAGUCCCGCAACGAGCGCAACCCCUAUUGUUAGUUGCCAUCAUUCAGUUGGGCACUCUAGCGAGACUGCCGGUAAUAAAACCGGAGGAAGGUGGGGAUGACGUCAAAUCAUCAUGCCCCUUAUGUCCUGGGCUACACACGUACUACAAUGGCCGGUACAAAGGGCAGCGAAGGGGUGACCCGGAGCAAAUCCCAACAAAACCGGUCUUAGUUCGGAUUGUAGUCUGCAACUCGACUACAUGAAGUCGGAAUCGCUAGUAAUCGCAGGUCAGCAUACUCGCGGUCCGAAUACGUUCCCGGGCCUU